CCUCCCAAAGUGCUGGGAUUACAGGCUUGAGCCACCGCGCCCGGCCAGGAAUUUUUUCUUAAAGUUUGAGUCCAAGUUUAUGUCCUCCUCUGUGGGUAAAACCAAUGUUUUCUGCAAAAACUAUUUGGUUUUUAAAAAGUAAAAUUGAUAUAUGUAUACAUUGUAUAAUGAUUUCCACAGUCAAAAUAAUUGAUACUUCUAGUACCAGGCAUGCUGUACCUUAGAUGUCUAGAACUUGUUCUUUUUAAAACUGGAAGUUGAUACCUUUUGACUACCAUCUUUCCAUUUCCCUCAUCCACCAGCCACUGGUAAACCACUGUUCUGCUCUCUGCUUCUAUGAAUUCAACUUUUUAUAAUCUCACAUAUAAACAAGAUCACACAGGAUUUGUCUUUCUGUACCUAGAUUAUUUCACCUAGCAUCAUGUCCUUCAGGCCCAUCCAUGUUGUUGCAAAUGGCAGGAUUUCCCUCCUUUAUUAUGGCUGAAUAAUAUUUUAUAAUAUACCACAUUUUCUGUAUCCAUUUAUCCUUUGAUGCAUUGCACACUUAGAUUAUUUUCCUAACCUGGUAAUUGUGAAUAGUGCUGCAGUGAACAUGAGUCCCCAAAUUAAAAGGAGCUGAGCAAGGCAAUAAAGCAGGAGGAGAAGCAGUCUGACAUGGGGACUCAUAAGCUGUGUCCAGCCCCUGAUUCCCACAUUCUGAAGCUUUCCUGUUUCAAAGCCACCAUGAGAGCUUGAGCUGGCUUGCUGUAAAGGUUAAUACUUGAAUGGUCAAAGCUGGGACAGAGUCAUGGAGCCCCUCUUAUGACUGGACGAAGUUGGCUUUCUUUAUAAAUCAGCCUGUGUGGCUUACACAAGGGCAGGCCCUGAUGCUCCCGAAUAUUUCCAUGCCCAGGAGAACUGGAAGCACCACCAUGUGUUUCCCUCAUUUCUGAGGUCCCCUUGUAAAAUUAAAAGUAUAGUGUCAGGACGCUACAAACUCUGCCCUAUGGGGUUGUGCAUCUCCAGGACCACACUAUGCUCCAUGAGACAUGCGAUCUUGUGAGUUUGCUAGGCCCCCCACACUGAUACAGGUGGACAAAAAAAAAAAAAA